CCUACGGGGGGCAGCAGUAGGGAAUAUUGCUCAAUGGGGGAAACCCUGAAGCAGCAACGCCGCGUGGAGGAUGAAGGUUUUCGGAUUGUAAACUCCUUUUGUUAGAGAAGAUAAUGACGGUAUCUAACGAAUAAGCACCGGCUAACUCCGUGCCAGCAGCCGCGGUAAUACGGAGGGUGCAAGCGUUACUCGGAAUCACUGGGCGUAAAGAGCGCGUAGGCGGGAUAGCAAGUCAGAUGUGAAAGCCUAUGGCUUAACCAUAGAAUUGCAUUUGAAACUGUUAUUCUAGAGUAUGGGAGAGGUAGGUGGAAUUCUUGGUGUAGGGGUAAAAUGCGUAGAGAUCACGAGGAAUACUCAUUGCGAAGGCGACCUGCUAGAACAUAACUGACGCUGAUGCGCGAAAGCGUGGGGAGCAAACAGGAUUAGAUACCCCUGUAGUC
rnacentral:rRNA from 1 species